rnacentral:misc_RNA from 1 species
AAUAAAAUAAAAAAAAAGAAAAAAAAAGACGAAAAUGGGAACCAGGACCAUGCGUAUUCAUGCAGGCAAGUGAGAGAGAUAGAAAGAGUUGUGCGAAGGGGGUGUUGCCGAGGAUAAUCUUAUCUUGCUCACAUCCCAUUUUACGCAUAACAGGAAGAGGAGAUGGAGGUUUUGAGAGGUAAAUGGAGUUGUAAGUGGUGCCAAGUGCUGCUGAGAGAGAUGGAGAGAGUUGGAAGUGAGGUGAGGGUGUUAAAAUUCCUGGAUUGAAGAUGUGAGCGCCAAGAGGAGUGGAGGAAGAAGAAGAAUGUUUUGGAGAUUCAGUGUUUCAGUAGAUUUAUCUUUUUAAGGGCAUGUUGGAAAUAAAAGCUAUUCUUUCUCAUUUGACUGACUUUAACCAUUGGCUAAUAGAUUUAUUAGACGGAAGGACCUUUAAUUUUGAUGGAAUGAAAAUCUAAGGACAAAACCAUUGACUUUUGAAAAUCCUAGGAUAUAUGUGUUAAUUUUGACAUAACUUAGGGACUAAAAAGGUAAUUACCUUUGUUUUUAAAUCCAAUUUCAAAUUAUUUAGGGGAAGCUUUAGGGUGUCUUUUCACAAUAAGAUUGAAGUAAAUUUUGACUUUAAAAUCUUUGGACUUCUAUAGACCAAUAGGGAAAGAAUCAAGUGAAUCAAUUGAUUCAUAUCCAUUCGCCUAAUUCACUAUCGAUUCAUUUGAUUCAGGCAUAUGUGUGAUUUGGCCUAUAGAUUUGAAUUUCUAUGGUGGGGAAUUUAUUUGAAUUAUACUAUUUGAGUAAUUGUUAGAACAUAAAGUUUUCGUUUAUGGGUGUAUAUUCCAGUCAAAUAUUGAUUUCCCUUUUUUUCCCCUUAAGCAAUAGUAAUAUUUUCUUCAGAAGCAAUAUCUGUAAACUUAUGGUUAUGAGAUCAUAUGUUCAUCUACAAGCAGUUCUUCUCUUCGAUGCUGAUAUGAAAAUGAAAGUGUGUACCUCUUUAUCUUUCAAAUAACCUUUGAGUUUCUACUAAAUAUAAUUCAUUUUGCUGAAAGGCUUAAUGGCCAAAAAAAUUUAAACCUUUGUGCAUUUCUGUAAUUUUGUCUGACUUUUUUUUAUUUUGGCAAUUUGGCCUUGAACUCUUGAUUUCAAAACUUAUUUUCAAUUCUAUCCAGUGGAUCAAAAUUGAAAUAAAAAAAUAUUUUAUUAUCAAUUUGAACCAAAAAAAAAAUUGUCGGAAUUAGUUGCAAGUCCUUCCCCAU